rnacentral:rRNA from 1 species
AUGGAGGAGCUGAUCAGCAGCGGGCUGCCGGGGAUGGAGGACGCCAGUGCCACCAGAAAGCAGAGGGAGGAGAAGAUGAAGGAUGUGAGGAGGGAGAACCAAGAUGAGGAUAUUAACAGCACACCUCCACCAUGUCCGCUGCCGCCGCCGCCGCCGGAGACAGUGACGCAGGAGGAGGAGGAGGAGGAGCAGGAGGUUUACAGGGAGGAAGGUCGGAUCGCGAGGUACCGCGGGCUGUGGGAGAGCCGCUUCGCCGGCAAAUUCGGCUCCUUCGACGACCAGACUAGUCUUGGUCCCAUGCGCUUCACAUCCGGACCCAUCCCGAGCUACGCGAGACCUCAUUGUACCAUGCAGAUCUUCAACAUCCCAGUGGCCGACCUCGAAGACGGUGUCAAGUGGCCGCUGCAUGUACAUGGCCUGGUCGCCGCCAGGGACACAUCGGAUCACAAUCACAACUUCCUCUUCAACCGCACCGAGGAUAACUGCCAAAUCCUAACCCAAGAGGCAUACACCAUGCAUCAUUUGUUUCUAUCGGAUCCAUAUCUACUACUGACAGGCCCGUCGCGCGCGAUCGUGAUCAUUGACCCCAUCAUGAUUGAGUUUCAGCUGAAGGUGAAGAGCAAGACGGACCACGAAGAGGACGAGAUGCUGGCCUUUGGGAUCUUCAACUACCCCCAGACCUACCUUGCCACACAUGUGAUCCACUCUGGUAUCCUCUGCGACCGGUGCACGAUCGAGCUUGCCUACACGCCGCUGGACCCCUCGGUCGAGGCGACCGUCAUCGGUGUCCGGAUCAUCGACGGUGUGUGGCCAGAGGGUUUCCGGGGGCGCAUCGUCGCCGAGGUCACAACCAUGAGGGAAGGAGAGGUGCUGCUGCUCGACUCCCGGGACGGGAAGAUGCCGAUCAGCCCUUCGACCGGCGCGGUCGAGCUCUCGAGGCACGUCGUGUCGAUCGCUGGCAAAGAAGACGGCGAUGAAGGUGGUGGCGCUGCCAUCGUUGUUGCGCGAGGCAAGGCCAUGUUCGCGCCGGAGAGGGCCGGCACGAGCAAUGGCACCUGCGAUCUUGGCUUCUGCAAGGUGGAGGUUGCUGUUGCAUGGUCCCUUGUUUCGAGCUUGUGGAAUGAGCGGCGCGCCCUCGCGAAACUCGCGGAGGAGAGGUCAUGA